GUAGGGGGCGAGCGUUGUCCGGAAUNACUGGGUGUAAAGGGAGCGUAGGCGGGAUCUUAAGUCAGGUGUGAAAACUAUGGGCUCAACCCAUAGACUGCACUUGAAACUGAGGUUCUUGAGUGAAGUAGAGGCAGGCGGAAUUCCUAGUGUAGCGGUGAAAUGCGUAGAUAUUAGGAGGAACAUCAGUGGCGAAGGCGGCUUACUGGACGGUAACUGACGUUGAGGCUCGAAAGCGUGGGGAGCAAACAGGAUUAGAUACCCUGGUAGUCCACGCCGUAAACGAUGAUUACUAGGUGUUGGUGGGUAUGACCCAUCGGUGCCGCAGCAAACGCAAUAAGUAGUCCACCUGGGGAGU
rnacentral:rRNA from 1 species